CUCACCUGAUCUUCCAAUUUUCCUAGUUUCUUCUACUCUUCUCUCUUCUUGGACAGUUAAUUCGCUUGAUUGUACAGGUAUAAGCUAACAUGUAUCAGAGCCACCAGUUGAAAUCUAAGCAAAUUGCGAGCAAAUAGAGUCUUCUCUGUUACUUCAAUUGUGCAAUUGAGAACUGAAUUGAGCUAGAGUGACAUUUGGUUGAAGCUAGGGUUUGUAAGCCUCUUACUUUGAAGCUAUUUCUCGGUCAACAAUGGAAAUUAAAGAUGAACUCGUUGGCGCGACCUCAACUACUAGCAAUUUUAUUGCUGGAGCUGCUACUUUUCCUACCAUCGAUCACAAUCAUCCUUUGUACCUGAACCGACAGACACACCAGGACAUCUUCAGUGGUCAGGUGACGGGAAUUGGUAGAGAAGAACAUGGGCUAUACAUUCUGCAAGGAGGUAUUCCAAAAUAAGAUCUAUAUCAUGCAACAAAUAAGUGUACUAGCACAAUAAAUUCUAUGUGUACUUCUAUUUCUAGUACUUUGUGGCAUAGAAGGUUAGGACAUGCUCCUUCAGAUAUAAUAAAGAGAGUAGAAGAGCUAAGCAAACUCACAACAGCUGAUUCUCAUCACUACAUUGUAUGUCCAGUAGGAAAGCAAACCAAGUUGUCUUUUCAACUAAGUAGUACAACUACAAAAUCAGUGUUUGAACUAAUUCACUGUGAUAUAUGGGGACCUUAUAGAGUGUUCACACAUGAUGGUAAGAGCUAUUUUGUUACUCAAGUUUAUGACCACACAAGGUAUACUUGGAUUUUUCUGUUAUAGUCUAAGUCAAAUGCUAUUGUAGUUCGAAGAGACUUUCUUAGUCAAGUAAAAAAUGUGUUCUCUGCUACUGUAAUGUUUCUAAGAACUAAUAAUGGAAGUGAAUUUUUUAGUACUGAAUUUAAGAGCCU